rnacentral:rRNA from 1 species
UACGUAGGGCGCAAGCGUUGUCCGGAAUCAUUGGGCGUAAAGAGCUCGUAGGUGGUCUGUUACGUCUGCUGUGAAAUCCUAGGGCUUAACCCUGGGCCUGCAGUGGAUACGGGCAGACUAGAGGUAGGUAGGGGAGAAUGGAAUUCCCGGUGUAGCGGUGAAAUGCGCAGAUAUCGGGAGGAACACCGGUGGCGAAGGCGGUUCUCUGGGCCGGAUCCGACGCUGAGGCGCGAAAGCGUGGGGAGCAAACAGG